rnacentral:rRNA from 1 species
UACAGAGGUCGCAAGCGUUGUUCGGAUUCAUUGGGCGUAAAGGGUGCGUAGGCGGCGCGGUAAGUCGGGUGUGAAAUCUCGGGGCUUAACUCCGAAACUGCAUUCGAUACUGCCGUGCUUGAGGACUGGAGAGGAGACUGGAAUUUACGGUGUAGCGGUGAAAUGCGUAGAUAUCGUAAGGAACACCAGUGGCGAAGGCGGGUCUCUGGACAGUUCCUGACGCUGAGGCACGAAGGCCAGGGGAGCGAACGGG